UUCCUACGGGGGGCAUCAGUGGGGGAUAUUGCACAAUGUUUUAAACCCUGAUGCAGCGACGCCGCGUGUAGGAAGACGGUCCUCUGGAUUGUAAACUACUGUCCCCAGGGACGAAGAUGACGGUACCUGGGGAGGAAGCUCCGGCUAACUACGUGCCAGCAGCCGCGGUAAUACGUAGGGAGCGAGCGUUGUCCGGAAUUACUGGGUGUAAAGGGAGCGUAGGCGGGGAUGCAAGUUGGGUGUUAAAUCUACCGGCUCAACUGGUAGUCGCACUCAAAAAUGCAGCUCUUGAGUGAAGUAGAGGC
rnacentral:rRNA from 1 species